rnacentral:rRNA from 1 species
UACAGAGGGUGCGAGCGUUACUCGGAAUUACUGGGCGUAAAGGGCGCGUAGGCGGUUAGUUAAGUUAGAUGUGAAAUCCCUGGGCUUAACCUAGGAACUGCAUCUGAUACUGGCUAGCUAGAGUGCAGUAGAGGGUAGUGGAAUUUCCGGUGUAGCGGUGAAAUGCGUAGAUAUCGGAAGGAACACCUGUGGCGAAAGCGGCUCACUGGACCAUUACUGACGCUGAUGCACGAAAGCUAGGGGAGCAAACAGG